rnacentral:rRNA from 1 species
GCUUGUCUCAAAGAUUAAGCCAUGCAUGUCUUAGUGUAAAUAACUCUUAUGAAACUGCGAAUGGCUCAUUAAAUCAGUUAUCAAAUACGUGAUGGUCGCCUACUACAUGGAUAACCGUAGUAAUUCUAGAGCUAAUACAUGCACAAAGGCCCACUCACGUGGGUUGUGAUUAUUAGAUUCAAACCGGCCUCGUUCUGGUGAUUCAUAAUAACUUUGCGGAUCGCAUGGCCUUGUGCCGGCGAUGAAUCAUUCAAAUUUCUGCCCUAUCAACUUUCGAUGGUAAGGUAUUGGCCUACCAUGGUUACCACGGGUAACGGGGAAUUAGGGUUCGGUUCCGGAGAGGGGGCCUGAGAAAUGGCCACCACAUCCAAGGAAGGCAGCAGG